GACGUAGGGCGCGAGCGUUGUCCGGAUUUAUUGGGCGUAAAGAGCUCGUAGGCGGCUUGUCGCGUCGACCGUGAAAACUUGGGGCUCAACCCCAAGCCUGCGGUCGAUACGGGCAGGCUCGAGUUCGGUAGGGGAGACUGGAAUUCCUGGUGUAGCGGUGAAAUGCGCAGAUAUCAGGAGGAACACCAAUAGCGAAGGCAGCUCGCUGGGACGGUACUGACACUAAGGCGCGAAAGCGUGGGGAGCGAACAGG
rnacentral:rRNA from 1 species